CAAUAGCGUAUAUUUAAGUUGCUGCAGUUAAAAAGCUCGUAGUUGGAUUUCGGGUGGGAAUGGCCGGUCCGCCGUUUCGGUGUGCACUUGCUACGCCCACCUUGCUGCCGGGGACGUGCUCUUGAGUUCACGCUCGGGACACGGAGUCGGCGAGGUUACUUUGAGUAAAUUAGAGUGUUCAAAGCAGGCCUACGCUCUGAAUACAUUAGCAUGGAAUAACACGAUAGGACUCUGGCCUAUCUUGUUGGUCUGUAGGACCGGAGUAAUGAUUAAGAGGGACAGUCGGGGGCAUUCGUAUUUCAUUGGCAGAGGUGAAAUUCUUGGAUUUAUGAAAGACGAACUACUGCGAAAGCAUUUGCCAAGGAUGUUUUCAUUAA
rnacentral:rRNA from 1 species